AAAAAAGAUGCUCCGCAGGGCGUAGCUUUAUACGACCGCAGAGGUUGAACCCUGAACGGUUGGGGCAAGUAUGGACACAACAUUCAAGCUGGAUUCAGCUCUAAAUUUGGAUUGUGAUUAAAUAGUUGACACAGCAUAGGUUUCUGACACAGAAUGAAUGUGUUCUAAUGAACUUAAAAUUUUUGUUUUCUCUUAGAGCAAUUCACUAUGCUGUUGAAUAUUAAUCCUCUCAAAAAAAUGUUUGAAGAAAUUUCUUUUUUAUUUAUGAAAUUUCAAAUGAGAAAAAUUGAACCCAAUUUUUUAAAUCACAUCCCCCUUUCCCUUAUUCCAAAACUAAUCUCAAUUAAAAUUUCUAAUGGAGUUUGCAACAAUAACUACUCAUUUAAAUACAUCAUAAAAUAUUAAGAUGUAAAAAAACUGCUUGUUAUCACUGAA
rnacentral:lncRNA from 1 species